UGAUGAUGGUGGGGGAAAAUUCUGAGCAUAGCCUUGAAUAUUUCCCAAGCUUAGUAAAGAUUCUCCCCAUCUUUCUGCCUGAAACUCAAAAUUUCACUUCUCAAACU
rfam:Capsicum annuum cultivar Zunla-1 chromosome 6, whole genome shotgun sequence